UCCAGACUCCUACGGGAGGCAGCAGUGGGGAAUAUUGCACAAUGGGCGGAAGCCUGAUGCAGCAACGCCGCGUGCGGGAUGACGGCCUUCGGGUUGUAAACCGCUUUCGCCUGUAACGAAGCGUGAGUGACGGUAAUGGGUAAAGAAGCACCGGCUAACUACGUGCCAGCAGCCGCGGUGAUACGUAGGGUGCGAGCGUUGUCCGGAUUUAUUGGGCGUAAAGGGCUCGUAGGUGGUUGAUCGCGUCGGAAGUGUAAUCUUGGGGCUUAACCCUGAGCGUGCUUUCGAUACGGGUUGACUUGAGGAAGGUAGGGGAGAAUGGAAUUCCUGGUGGAGCGGUGGAAUGCGCAGAUAUCAGGAGGAACACCAGUGGCGAAGGCGGUUCUCUGGGCCUUUCCUGACGCUGAGGAGCGAAAGCGUGGGGAGCGAACAGGCUUAGAUACCCUGGUAGUCCACGCUGUAAACGGUGGGUACUAGGUGUGGGGUCCAUUCCACGGGUUCCGUGCCGUAGCUAACGCUUUAAGUACCCCGCCUGGGGAGUACGGCCGCAAGGCUAAAACUCAAAGGAAUUGACGGGGGCCCGCACAAG
rnacentral:rRNA from 1 species